GAGUUUGAUCUUGGCUCAGGAUGAACGCUGGCGGCGUGCUUAACACAUGCAAGUCGAACGAGAAUCAACGGAUUGAGGAUUCGUCCAAAUGAAGUUGAGGAAAGUGGCGGACGGGUGAGUAACGCGUGAGGAACCUGCCUCGGAGUGGGGAAUAACAGUUGGAAACAGCUGCUAAUACCGCAUAAUGCAACGAAAUCGCAUGACUUUGUUGCCAAAGAUUUAUCGCUCUGAGAUGGCCUCGCGUCUGAUUAGCUAGUUGGCGGGGUAACGGCCCACCAAGGCGACGAUCAGUAGCCGGACUGAGAGGUUGGCCGGCCACAUUGGGACUGAGACACGGCCCAGACUCCUACGGGAGGCAGCAGUGGGGAAUAUUGGGCAAUGGGCGCAAGCCUGACCCAGCAACGCCGCGUGAAGG
rnacentral:rRNA from 1 species